AAACCUUGAUGACAAGACAAAAGAGAAUUUAUUUCUGGUGCUCAGAAAAGAAGUAGGAUGCGGCCGCGUGAAGAGAAAACAAUUUCUAGUUAUCAGUCGGCCAUCAUCAGACCUCAAAAUGGUAAAUAAAACACGAAAGACAAAAAAAA